AUACGUAGGUGGCAAGCGUUGUCCGGAUUUACUGGGUGUAAAGGGCGUGUAGCCGGGAAGGCAAGUCAGAUGUGAAAUCUAUGAGCUCAACUCAUAAAUUGCAUUUGAAACUGUUUUUCUUGAGUGUCGGAGAGGUAGAUGGAAUUCCUAGUGUAGCGGUGAAAUGCGUAGAUAUUAGGAGGAACACCAGUGGCGAAGGCGAUCUACUGGACGAUAACUGACGGUGAGGCGCGAAAGCGUGGGGAGC
rnacentral:rRNA from 1 species